GAGUUUGAUCGUGGCUCAGAUUGAACGCUGGCGGCAUGCCUUACACAUGCAAGUCGAACGGCAGCAUGAUCUAGCUUGCUAGAUUGAUGGCGAGUGGCGAACGGGUGAGUAAUACAUCGGAACGUGCCCUGUAGUGGGGGAUAACUAGUCGAAAGAUUAGCUAAUACCGCAUACGACCUGAGGGUGAAAGUGGGGGACCGCAAGGCCUCAUGCUAUAGGAGCGGCCGAUGUCUGAUUAGCUAGUUGGUGGGGUAAAGGCCCACCAAGGCGACGAUCAGUAGCUGGUCUGAGAGGACGAUCAGCCACACUGGGACUGAGACACGACCCAGACUCCUACGGGAGGCAGCAGUGGGAAUUUUGGACAAUGGGCGAAAGCCUGAUCCAGCAAUGCCGCGUGUGUGAG
rnacentral:rRNA from 1 species